rnacentral:rRNA from 1 species
UACGAAGGGGGCUAGCGUUGUUCGGAAUUACUGGGCGUAAAGCGUGCGCAGGCGGUUUUGUAAGUUCUGUCGUGAAAUCCCCGGGCUCAACCUGGGAAAUUCGCGAUGGAGACUGCAAGGCUAGAAUCUGGCAGAGGGGGGUAGAAUUCCACGUGUGAGCAGUGAAAUGCGUAGAGAUGUGGAGGAACACCGAUGGCGAAGGCAGGCCC